CCUACGGGAGACAGCAGUGGGGAAUAUUGCACAAUGGACGAAAGUCUGAUGCAGCAACGCCGCGUGGAGGAUGACACAUUUCGGUGCGUAAACUCCUUUUAUAGGUCAAGAUAAUGACGGUAGCCUAUGAAUAAGCGUCGGCUAACUCCGUGCCAGCAGCCGCGGUAAU
rnacentral:rRNA from 1 species